rnacentral:rRNA from 1 species
UACGUAGGGUGCAAGCGUUAAUCGGAAUUACUGGGCGUAAAGCGUGCGCAGGCGGUGAUGUAAGACAGAUGUGAAAUCCCCGAGCUCAACUUGGGAACUGCAUUUGUGACUGCAUCGCUGGAGUGCGGCAGAGGGGGAUGGAAUUCCGCGUGUAGCAGUGAAAUGCGUAGAUAUGCGGAGGAACACCGAUGGCGAAGGCAAUCCCCUGGGCCUGCACUGACGCUCAUGCACGAAAGCGUGGGGAGCAAACAGG